GAAGGUGUGUUUUGGCAGAAGAUUUCUGAUAUACUUUACAUUACGCGGUCUACUUCCCAUUGAAUUAAAACCAGCUGGGCAGAGAUCAUUGCAAUUUAUUGUGAACUUUUCACAAUGUAUGAUCAUCCUCUGUUUGCAUAUUUAUAAUCCCUACUGAAAUGAACUUCUGAAAGGAAGAAUAUAGUUCUUAUUUAUACUUGUUUCUGAAAUGUCUAGCACAGUGUCUGGCAUGGAGCAGAAGCUCUGUAACACUGUUGAAUGAAUGAAUGUAAUUUGUGGAUUUCUCCUGUUUUUUGCCUCUAGACUGCUGCUGAGCAGUCUGGAUGGAUGACCCUUUCAUUUUCAUCCCUGUGUGCAGGUAGCUGUCCUGUCUUAAGCUGGAUACAGCUCAGACCUUCACUUACUUUGGUCCCAGGCCCAGAAAAUUGUGUUUUCUUAGAGAUGGUGAGGACUUGAAGGCUUUGAUGCCCCUGGUCCAACUUGCACACACCCUCUGAAAAUCAUCUCUUUAUAUAACUCUCUAAAGAUUGGAUUGUUUGUCUUUAAGAAAUGUGUAGGACUUCCCUGGUGGUCCAGUGGUUAAGAAUCCACCUGCCAGUGUGGGAGAUAUGGAUUCAGUCCCUGAUCUGGGAAGAUUCUGCAUGCCCUGGAGUAACUAAGCCCAUGUGCCCCAACUACUGAGCCCAUGCCCUAGGGCCCAUGCUCCACAAGAGAAGCCACCACAAGCCACCCGUGUAUAGCAAGUAGAGAGUAGCCUCCACUUACUGCAACUAGAGAAAGCCUGCACAGCAACAAAGCCCCAACACAGCCAAAAAUAAAGAAAGAGAAAGAAAAACAAUUGGGUAGAAUCAAGGUAGUUUGGCCUCCUUCAAACCAGUAGACUACCAUUGAAAGAAAGUGAAAGUCACUCAGUCGUGUCCAGGUGUUUGCAAGCCCAUGGACUAUACACUCCAUGGAAUCCUCCAGUAUUCUUACCUGGAGAAUCCCAUGGACAGAGGAGCCUGGCGGGCUGCAGUCCAUGGGGUUGCAAAGAGUGGGACACAACUGAGUGACUAAGCAUAGGUGGUUAUACACGCCUAUUCCCCAGCCUCCAUAUAUGACCUGGAAAUGGAAAUUCAGUCAGGUCAUCAAAUAAUUGCCAAAGAGCAGAACUGAUUACAUUUUCAGUUAGAUUGACAGUGGAUGGAGUACGUAUGUUGUGAAUUCUGUGAAUUUGGGAGACAGAAUUGAUUGCUGUUGGAUUAAAAGCCAUUUCAGACUUGAGAGUAUCACAGUGUCUGAUGACGCUUCCUAGUGAAGGACUCGGUCAGUAUGAUGGAUAACCUACCUCAGUACUGAGGUCAGACAGUGGGGCAGACACCUGCUGCGUCUGAAUAUUGCCUUUUUAAUGUUCAUAAGGAAGAACUAUUUGUUCGUCUUCUGAACCAUGGAGCCAGAGUACUCUUCAUAUUUUGUAUGGAACGGGUUGCAAAAACACCAC
ensembl:lncRNA